CACGUAGGGGACGAGCGUUGUCCGGAAUCAUUGGGCGUAAAGAGCGUGUAGGCGGCCCGACAAGUCCGCCGUGAAAGUCCAGGGCUCAACCCUGGAAUGCCGGUGGAAACUGUCGGGCUUGAGUUCGGAAGAGGCGAGUGGAAUUCCUGGUGUAGCGGUGAAAUGCGCAGAUAUCAGGAGGAACACCAAUGGCGAAGGCAGCUCGCUGGGACGACACUGACGCUGAGACGCGAAAGCGUGGGGAGCAAACAGG
rnacentral:rRNA from 1 species